UACCAGCACCCCCGAGUGGUCGGGACGAUUAUUGGGCCUAAAGCAUCCGUAGCCGGUUUUACAAGUCCUCCGUUAAAUCCAGCUGCUUAACAGAUGGGCUGCGGAGGAUACUAUAAGACUAGGAGGCAGGAGAGGCAAGCGGUACUCAGUGGGUAGGGGGUAAAAAUCCGUUGAUCCAUUGAAGACCACCAGUGGCGAAGGCGGCUUGCCAGAAUGCGCUCGACGGUGAGGGAUGAAAGCUGGGGGAGCAAACCGG
rnacentral:rRNA from 1 species